rnacentral:rRNA from 1 species
GGGUCAGUAGGUUGGUCGUGCCACCGGUACGUACUGGUCUCACUGAUUCCUCCUUCCUGAAGAACCGUAAUGCCAUUAAUCUGGUGUUGCGGGGAAACAGGACUGUUACUUUGAAAAAAUUAGAGUGUUUAAAGCAAGCCAACGCUUGAGUACAUUAGCAUGGAAUAAUGAAAUAGGACGAUCGAUCCUAUUUUGUUGGUUUCUAGGAUUGACGUA